ACGCAUGUUCAACGCAACGAUCGGCCUUCUAAGCCGUUGGUCCCCCGUUCGAAUCGGGGCGGGCGUGCCA
rnacentral:tRNA from 1 species